GCUGUUCAAACGGUUAAUAAAAUGCAGAUGCUACUGAUUUCGACUUUUUAAACAUUCUUUAAAUUUUAAAAUCCAUGAAGAAUCCAAUGCCAACACGUAUUCAACAGUCCUCCGUCCGUAACAAUUCCCUUUCCUCAGGACCACGUAGCAUCUCUCAUUCCAAACACUCCACCAGAAGUGGGAAUUAUAUACCGCGACCUCUGUUACCUCAUGGCUUCUAACAAAACCCCAAACUCUUUAAUUUUACACGCUUAUAAAUUCCUGAGGGGUGGAAAAUCUUUGCUUUGGUACUGUUGGUCAUAUGUGGAGGGGGACUACAUCUACUACUUCCUCCCUUUUUUCCUAAAUAAUUUGUAUUUUAUCAACAGGUACUUACAAGAAAACAUUAGGAUGUUGAAAAAAUAAAAAAAAUAAGUAUAACAGCAGUAAUAACAAUAAUAACAAUAAUUAUAAAAGAAAUUUAAAAAGGAAAUGAUAAGAAAUAAAAAGACAAAUGAGGAGAAAAGCAGAAAGAAGGGGAAAUGGAGACUUUCCAAGAGCUCAACAUCUCACUUACAUUGCUGAUUCUGGAUUUUUUCAGAACUGAUGGGUCUAAAAUCCAGACCUUUUCAGUCCAUCUGUCAAAUUUUAGGCCCCCAAUAUCUGGGGAGGCGAGAGCUAAGAAAAACUUGCUUUACAGCCAGCAAAAUAGCCCCUAUUGCAGUGUAUAGUCUAGGACAGGGGUUCUACCAGAACGAAACAUCAUUCCACCUGGCAUCUACUACUUUAUCUGCACAGAGUUUGUCACCUGUCAUUUUAACUUAAUUCUU